rnacentral:rRNA from 1 species
AGUGAACGCUGGCGGUAGGCCUAACACAUGGAAGUCGAACGGCAGCACAGUAAGAGCUUGCUCUUACGGGUGGCGAGUGGCGGACGGGUGAGGAAUACAUCGGAAUCUACUUUUUCGUGGGGGAUAACGUAGGGAAACUUACGCUAAUACCGCGUACGACCUACGGGUGAAAGCAGGGGAUCUUCGGACCUUGCGCGAUUGAAUGAGCCGAUGUCGGAUUAGCUAGUUGGCGGGGUAAAGGCCCACCAAGGCGACGAUCCGUAGCUGGUCUGAGAGGAUGAUCAGCCACACUGGAACUGAGACACGGUCCAGACUCCUACGGGAGGCAGCAGUGGGGAAUAUUGGACAAUGGGCGCAAGCCUGAUCCAGCCAUACCGCGUGGGUGAAGAAGGCCUUCGGGUUGUAAAGCCCUUUUGUUGGGAAAGAAAAGCAGCAGGUUAAUACCCCGCUGUUCUGACGGUACCCAAAGAAUAAGCACCGGCUAACUUCGUG